UUAAAGUUUGAUUUUUGCCUAGUAAUUUUGUUUUAUAAUUAACUAAUAUAUGCAAAUUUUGGUGAUUAAAAUUUACUAAAAGUAGUUUAGGUGUAGCAAUAUUUAAUAUUGAUAAAUAAGGUUAAUCUUGAAUUGGUAAAUUAUAAUAAAUCUGAGAAAAUCUUGUGCCAGCAGUCGCGGUUAUACUAGGGGGUUAAAUAAAAUUUAUUAGUUAAAGUUAAUUAAGUUAAUUUUUAAUAAAAUUUUAUCUUAAUAAAAAGUGAAAUUAGAUUAUUAAAUGUAAAAUUUUAUUUAAUUUUAAUAUAAUGAAGCUUAAAAAAUUAAGGUAUGAAUUAGGAUUAGAUACCCUAGUACACUUUAAAUUAAUUAUAAAAAAAAACUGGAAUACUAAAAGUUAUAUUCUUUAAAUUUAAAAAAUUUGGCGGUAUUUUAGUCUAGUUAGAGGAACCUGUUUUUUAAACGACAAUACACGCAUUAUCUUACUUAUUCUAGUAAUCAGUUUGUAUACCGUCAUUAUAAGAUAAUUUAAGAGAGAAUAUUAUUAAAAUCAUAUUAUGUGAGUAUAUUAGAUCAAGGUGCAGCUAAUGAAUAAGAAAAAAUGGGUUACAAUAAAAUUUAUUUAUAUGGAUUUAAUAUUUAAAUAUAUUAAUGAAGGAGGAUUUAAUUGUAAAAUAAAAUUAAUAGGUUUUUUUGAUAGGAGCUCUAAAUUAUGUACAUAUCGCCCGUCGCUUUCAUUUAAGGUGAAAUAAGUCGUAACAUAGUAGGGGUGCUGGAAAGGGUCCCUAGAAUUAU
rnacentral:ncRNA from 1 species